rnacentral:rRNA from 1 species
UACAGAGGUCUCAGGCGUUGUUCGGAUUCAUUGGGCGUAAAGGGUGCGUAGGUGGCGCGGUAAGUCGGGUGUGAAAUCUCGGAGCUUAACUCCGAAAUUGCAUUCGAUACUGCCGUGCUUGAGGACUGGAGAGGAGACUGGAAUUCAUGGUGUAGCAGUGAAAUGCGUAGAGAUCAUGAGGAAGACCAGUGGCGAAGGCGGGUCUCUGGACAGUUCCUGACACUGAGGCACGAAGGCCAGGGGAGCAAACGGG